UGGAAUGGGCAAUGCAUUCUGAAAGUCCAAAAGAAUCCUUCUGUCUUUUGGACUUUCAGAAUGCAUUGCCCAUAAGCCC